CCUACGGGGGCAGCAGUGGGGGAUAUUGCACAAUGGGGGAAACCCUGAUGCAGCAACGCCGCGUGUGGGAAGAAGGUUUUCGGAUUGUAAAACACCGUUUCUGGUGAAGAUAAUGAAGGUAAACAAGGAGAAAGCUUCGGCUAACGACGUGACAGGAGCCGGGGGAAUAAGUAGGGAGCAAGCGUUGUCCGGAUUUACUGGGUGUAAAGGGGGCGUAGGCGGUCUUGGAAGGCAGACGUGAAAACCACAGGCUCAACCUGUGGACUGCGUUUGAAACUGUGGGGCUUGAGUGAAGUAGAGGUAGGCGGAAUUCCCGGUGUAGCGGUGAAAUGCGUAGAGAUCGGGAGGAACACCAGUGGCGAAGGCGGCCUACUGGGCUUUAACUGACGCUGAGGUACGAAAGCAUGGGUAGCAAACAGGAUUAGAUACCCCAGUAGUC
rnacentral:rRNA from 1 species